ensembl:lncRNA
AUGUGCUUUUUAUCUGAUUUCUGUUUUACAAACGCUCUGAUCUUUCGAUCUUUACCUCAUAUUGACUUGCUCCUGCUCUGUCGUUCUUAUUCUUUUUUUGUCUCUCUCUCUCUAACCGCCUGUCUUUCAUUUAGUGCUGUCAGCAUACUGUCCAUACUUUUUCCUACUCCUGUUUUAGCCGGUAUUGGGUGUAGCUCUAUACGUAGCUCGCUUUCUCUUUCAGGACAGGUGGGGAGGUGUUACCAAGAUAAACGUACAUCUUUAGGGCCAUUUUAUCUGACCUGGUCACUUUUGUCCAAUAUUUUUGUUAAUUUGCUCUUCUGUUUGCGCCGAGAACACUCUGGUAUUGAUGGCAACGCUCUGCAUUUCUUUUCAUCCACAUCUCUUUAUCAUCUGUCCAUCCCCCUACCCCUCUCUCUCUCUCUCUUUUUCCUCUCAUCCUCAAAUUCUCAAACGCUGAAUCAGCUGCUUGGGAACGGACGCUCCCCCUGCCUCUUGGAUCCACACACAAGCUGCCUCUCCCCGGUUCGACGGUGUCCUUUUCCUGUCCUGAGCUUGGGAUUCUGGCACACACAGAAGUCUUGCCCAAAAAUGCUUUGCUAAAGCUGGUAAAAUGGAACCAAAUCAACUGUUUUAUGGAUUUGGUCCCCUUCAACCAGCUGUAGCUGUGCAUUGAUCACCCCGUAGAGCUGUGAUGAAGAAAGAGAGGUGUUCAAAAGCAUAACACACAAUAUUUGCUCUGUGUGAAGUUCACAGUGCAGGACCGGCUGUUAAAUGCAUGUUCCUUUAAGCACUAAUAUCAUGAUUAAACAUUUUUUUGUCCUCUUAAAGCCUAGGUGAGUAUUACAGUAUAUAUGCCAUGUAAUUUAUUAUUUAUGAGAUAUAAUUGUUGAUUAUGUAUUCAAGCCAGAUCACUAUCAUUGGAAAGAGGGCUCUGGGCUCUUUAUGGCCGCCCAUUGAUUUCUUGUCUCACCAUUGAAAGAGUGUGGGGUGGGGGGAUGAGCCAGGCUGGACGGAUGUAGGGAAUGAGGGAGUGGGUGCAUGUCAAGCUGUUGAAUAAGUAAAACAGUUGUUCCUUUUCUCUCUGUUUUCCUUCUACACUUGUCGUGAUUCUUAAUGCACAUGGCUGAUCAAUAAAAGCUCAUCCUGAAGUUCA